rnacentral:lncRNA from 1 species
GGAUAUUCCUAUUAGGAUAAAAUUAGUUUAAUCUAUUUUAAAUCUAAUAAUGGAUUAAGCCAAAGGGACAUUAUAAAUAAUAUGGAAAUACACAAUUUUUGUCCAAAAUUUACCUGCUUCAAAUAAACUUUUACACUCUUCAACUUCAGGUCUAGUGUUCUAAGAUUAAGUUCAAGUUGUUUCAUUUCAACUUCUUUACUAUAUUGCUCUUUACUUGUUAAUUGCUCCCUACCCUUUUCAUAUAACGUAUCAGCACUUUUUCUUUUUUCUUGUUCUUGUUUUAAGGUCAAUCUGCAAAUGCAUGUGUUCAUUUUAAAAUUUGUUUUGUUAGCAAUAAAAAGCUUAUUUUAUAAUCUGGUUCCACAUAUGUUUCAUUAUCCAAAUGAAAUUUUUCUAUUGUCAAUUUUUUUUUCCUUUCUAGGGCUUCGGUUGUUAAUUUCUCACUUCAAUCUCUCCCAAAUAUAGUUGAAAAGAGGCAAUGAGAAAGCAUUAUGUCACUUAGUAAGGUUUAGUCAGUAAUAACUCUGGUAAAUGAUGGAAGGAAAGGAAUUCUGAAAUUAUUUGGGGAAGUUAGAGUUGAAAAUUACCAUUUCCCCACAUAGUCGUAAGUAUUCUUCAAUUAGGACAGAUCACUGAGUUACUAAUUAAAAAGAAGUUGCUAUUUAUCAACAAGUUUAUAAAUUCACUAGAAAGAUUUUUACUUGACAAAAUGUCACAGGUACCUCUAAAAAUGAUCUGCAGUGUAAGACGGCAUCAGCAGAUGACUGUGAUCCAGCACUAGACUAGGGAGUCUAAUAUCUAUUGCCCCAUACUUUUUAUGUUUCUUCUCCAAUAUUCUCAACCUUGCUGAUUAUUAUACAUUUUACAUCAUUUGAAAACUUCUCUUAGAACACAGGAUCCAUAUUAAGUAAAGAAUAAAAAGUAAUAUGUGCUUUCAGCAUAGAUUUUUGAAUUAAUUUUCUUUAAAUAGGAGAGAAAUGUUGGAAAAGCUUAACCAUUAAUCAUUUUCCUUUUUGCUUUUUAAUCCCUACAUAUGCUAAGAAAAAACCGAAGUUAAAAAAAAUUUUCUGGGGAUCCCUGGGUGGCACAGUGGUUUGGCGCCUGCCUUUGGCCCAGGGCGCGAUCCUGGAGACCCGGGAUCGAAUCCCACGUCGGGCUCCCGGUGCAUGGAGCCUGCUUCUCCCUCUGCCUGUGUCUCUGCCUCUCUCUCUCUCUGUGUGACUA